rnacentral:rRNA from 1 species
GACGAACGCUGGCGGCGUGCUUAACACAUGCAAGUCGAACGGAAAGGCCCUGCUUGCGGGGUACUCGAGUGGCGAACGGGUGAGUAACACGUGGGUGAUCUGCCCUGCACUUCGGGAUAAGCCUGGGAAACUGGGUCUAAUACCGGAUAGGAGCCAUUUUUAGUGUGAUGGUUGGAAAGUUUUUUCGGUGUAGGAUGAGCUCGCGGCCUAUCAGCUUGUUGGUGGGGUAAUGGCCUACCAAGGCGGCGACGUGUAGCCGGCCUGCGAGGGUGGACGGCCACACAGGGACUUAGAUACGGCCCAGGCUCCUACGGGUGGCAGCAGUGGGGAAGACUGAAGAAUGGGCGCAAGCCUGAUGCAGCGAGGCUGCGUGGGGGAUGACGGUCUUCGGGUUGUAAACUCCUUUCGCUAGGGACGAAGCUUUUUGUGACGGUACCUAGAUAAGAAGCACCGGCUAACUACGUG